rnacentral:tRNA from 1 species
GGUAGACGCUACGGACUUAAAUCCCUUGACCGUAAAGGGUCGUGGGGGUUC